CCUUCCGUUGGAAUCGAACUCCGGCCGUGAGCAGAGCUUCUGCUGCGUUACUGCCGCUUGCCACUCUGCGCCAUAAUAGGAGAGCAAUUUGUACCACGUCUGGGCACUUUGAGCACACUUGAAAACUUGCACACAUUGCUAACACUUCUCCUCCUAGAAGUUAGACAGAACACUCCACACAGUUGUGCAUCUACAUGAAGCCCUUGGGAGCAGUCAUCAGGAGAUUUGGGGUGAGGUGUCAGCAGUACGUUGGUGAUACCCAGCUCCAUUUCACUCUAACAUCUGAACCAGGAGAGGCCAUGCAAGCCCUGGACUGCUGCCUGGACUCAUUGGAUCCAACCUACACCUUGUUUCAGGCAGACAAAGAGAGAGACCCACCUCAUGUUGGACAGUGGUGACCAGGAUGUUCAUCGCUGUUCCUCCAUGGACCAUGGGAUUGUUAGCCUCCAUACUCCAGGCAAGAUCCAUGACAGUCAUUUAGACAACAAUGUACCUAAUACAGAGCUGGUGCAAUAAGGGAGACUGCAACUGCUUCACUGCUGCUUGUCCAACUUCAUCUUCUUCAUCUUUAUCAUCAUCACUGAUAUUGAUGUUGAUAAUAAAAUGUAUAUCCCACUCUUCCUCCGAGAUGGAGCCCAGGACGGCAAACAGAUGAUAAUACUGUCCAAGGCUCAGGAGCCCUGCUGGAGUGACUGGCAGGCAAC